rnacentral:rRNA from 1 species
GACGAACCGUCCAAACGUUAUUCGGAAUUACUGGGCUUAAAGGGUUCGUAGGCGGCUUUGUAAGUGAGAUGUGAAAUCCCACGGCUCAACCGUGGAAGUGCAUUUCAUACUGCAAGGCUUGAGGGAGACAGAGGUAAGCGGAACUGAUGGUGGAGCGGUGAAAUGCGUUGAUAUCGACCGGAACUCCGGUGGCGAAGGCGAGGCGCUGGACCCUUUCUGACGCUGAGGCGCGAAAGCCAGGGGAGCAAACGGG